rnacentral:rRNA from 1 species
CAGGGAAUUUUGCGCAAUGGGCGAAAGCCUGACGCAGCAACGCCGCGUGGGGGAUGAAGGCUCUUGGGUCGUAAACCCCUUUUGCCGGGGAAGAUAAUGACGGUACCCGGCGAAUAAGCCACGGCUAACUACGUGCCAGCAGCCGCGGUAAUACGUAGGGCGCAAGCGUUAUCCGGAAUUAUUGGGCGUAAAGAGCUCGUAGGCGGUUUGUCGCGUCUGCCGUGAAAGUCCGGGGCUCAACUCCGGAUCUGCGGUGGGUACGGGCAGACUAGAGUGAUGUAGGGGAGACUGGAAUUCCUGGUGUAGCGGUGAAAUGCGCAGAUAUCAGGAGGAACACCGAUGGCGAAGGCAGGUCUCUGGGCAUUAACUGACGCUGAGGAGCGAAAGCAUGGGGAGCGAACAG